rnacentral:rRNA from 1 species
UAGGGAAUCUUCCACAAUGGACGCAAGUCUGAUGGAGCAACGCCGCGUGAGUGAAGAAGGUUUUCGGACCGUAAAGCUCUGUUGUUGGUGAAGAAGGAUAGAGGUAGUAACUGGCCUUUAUUUGACGGUAAUCAACCAGAAAGUCACGGCUAACUACGUGCCAGCAGCCGCGGUAAUACGUAGGUGGCAAGCGUUGUCCGGAUUUAUUGGGCGUAAAGCGAGCGCAGGCGGAAGAAUAAGUCUGAUGUGAAAGCCCUCGGCUUAACCGAGGAAUUGCAUCGGAAACUGUUUUCUUGAGUGCAGAAGAGGAGAGUAGAACUCCAUGUGUAGCGGUGGAAUGCGUAGAUAUAUGGAAGAAUACCAGUGGCGAAGGCGGCUCUCUGGUCUGCAACUGACGCUGAGGCUCGAAAAGCAUGGGUAGCGAACAGGAUUAGAUACCCUGGUAGUCCAUGCCGUAAAACGAUGAGUGCUAAGUGUUGGGAGGCUUCCGCCUCUCAGUGCUGCAGCUAACGCAUUAAGCACUCCGCCUGGGGGAGUACGACCGC